UCGAAUAUGAUCUCUCCAUCACACGCACUAUCCGAAUUCGCUCGUCCUCAUUAGUCAUAGAUAAAACACGACGACAAUCUAACAUAAGAUCUGAUAUAGAAUCAGUCUAUAUAAUAAAAAUAAAAUUAGCAAAAUACUAUAAAAUUAAGAACAAAUGAAACUGUAUAAAAUAUUUUACAAUCUUAAAUUAUUAAAAGUAAUAAGACUAAUAUCCAUCUGUAUACGAUCAAUCCGAUACACUUCAUAAAAUCUCAGAUAUCAUAAAUAAUCUAGUACUCUAGCUAAAAUAUGCUUUGUCCUCCAGAAGUCAGCAUCA
rnacentral:lncRNA from 1 species